AAGUGGCGAACGGGUGAGUAACACGUGAGCAACCUACCUUACACAGGGGGAUAGCCGUUGGAAACGACGAUUAAUACCGUAUGAGACCACAGAAUCGCAUGAUAUAGGGGUCAAAGAUUUAUCGGUGUAAGAAGGGCUCGCGUCUGAUUAGCUAGUUGGAAGGGUAAAGGCCUACCAAGGCGACGAUCAGUAGCCGGUCUGAGAGGAUGAACGGCCACAUUGGAACUGAGACACGGUCCAAACUCCUACGGGAGGCAGCAGUGGGGAAUAUUGCACAAUGGGGGGAACCCUGAUGCAGCGACGCCGCGUGAGCGAAGAAGGUUUUCGAAUCGUAAAGCUCUGUCCUAUGAGAAGAUAAUGACGGUAUCAUAGGAGGAAGCCCCGGCUAAAUACGUGCCAGCAGCCGCGGUAAUACGUAUGGGGCGAGCGUUGUCCGGAAUUAUUGGGCGUAAAGGGUACGUAGGCGGUUUUUUAAGUCAGGUGUGAAAGCGUGAGGCUUAACCUCAUUAAGCACUUGAAACUGGAAGACUUGAGUGAAGGAGAGGAAAGUGGAAUUCCUAGUGUAGCGGUGAAAUGCGUAGAUAUUAGGAGGAAUACCGGAGGCGAAGGCGACUUUCCGGACU
rnacentral:rRNA from 1 species